ACCAACCAGCCUGGAGUGGUCCAGCCUUUCACACGUGAUGACGCUCCUCCCUGCAAUUAUUUCCACCACCAUCAUCAAUGCUUUCUUUGGCUUCUAUAACUUUGGCCCCCAAUUAGCUAGCCAAAAAGCUUCCAAUCCUCCAAAUCUCUUGUAUCAAAGUUGUGGGUCCUUCGUUAGUAUUACAAUUAUGAUGUAUUGCCAAAUGUGUGAAAGUGUGGUGACAGUGUUCUGCC
rnacentral:lncRNA from 1 species